rnacentral:rRNA from 1 species
AACGAACGCUGGCGGCAUGCCUAACACAUGCAAGUCGAACGAGACCUUCGGGUCUAGUGGCGCACGGGUGCGUAACGCGUGGGAACCUGCCCUUAGGUUCGGAAUAACUCCCCGAAAGGGGUGCUAAUACCGGAUAAUGUCUUCGGACCAAAGAUUUAUCGCCUUUGGAUGGGCCCGCGUUGGAUUAGCUAGUUGGUAGGGUAAAAGCCUACCAAGGCGACGAUCCAUAGCUGGUCUGAGAGGAUGAUCAGCCACACUGGGACUGAGACACGGCCCAGACUCCUACGGGAGGCAGCAGUGGGGAAUAUUGGACAAUGGGCGAAAGCCUGAUCCAGCAAUGCCGCGUGAGUGAUGAAGGCCUUAGGGUUGUAAAGUUCUUUUACCCGGGAUGAUAAUGACAGUACCGGGAGAAUAAGCUCCGGCUAACUCCGUG